UACGAAGGGGGCGAGCGUUGUUCGGAUUUACUGGGCGUAAAGGGCGCGCAGGCGGCUUAUUUUGUCAGGCGUGAAAGCCCCGGGCUUAACCUGGGAACUGCGUUUGAUACGGAUGGGCUAGAGUUCGGGAGAGGAGAGUGGAAUUCCCAGUGUAGAGGUGAAAUUCGUAGAUAUUGGGAAGAACACCGGUGGCGAAGGCGGCUCUCUGGACCGAUACUGACGCUGAGGCGCGAAAGCGUGGGGAGCAAACAGG
rnacentral:rRNA from 1 species